CGGCAACAGCUCAAAUUUGAAAUCUGGCCCUCGGGUCCGAGUUGUAAUUUGUAGAGGAUGCUUUUGGCGCGGUGCCUUCCGAGUUCCCUGGAACGGGACGCCAUAGAGGGUGAGAGCCCCGUCUGGUUGGACACCAAGCCUCUGUAAAGCUCCUUCGACGAGUCGAGUAGUUUGGGAAUGCUGCUCUAAAUGGGAGGUAUAUGUCUUCUAAAGCUAAAUACCGGCCAGAGACCGAUAGCGCACAAGUAGAGUGAUCGAAAGAUGAAAAGCACUUUGAAAAGAGAGUUAAAUAGCACGUGAAAUUGUUGAAAGGGAAGCGUUUAUGACCAGACUUGGGCUUGGUUGAUCAUCCCGCGUUCUCGCGGGUGCACUCUUCCGGCUCAGGCCAGCAUCAGUUCGCUGCGGGGGAUAAAGGCGUCGGGAAUGUGGCUCCCUCGGGAGUGUUAUAGCCCUUCGUGUAAUACCCUGCGGUGGACUGAGGACCGCGCUUCGGCAAGGAUGCUGGCGUAAUGGUCAUCAACGACCCGUCUUGAAACACGGACCAAGGAGUCGUCUUCGUAUGCGAGUGUUCGGGUGUCAAACCCCUACGCGUAAUGAAAGUGAACGCAGGUGAGAGCUUCGGCGCAUCAUCGACCGAUCCUGAUGUUCUCGGAUGGAUUUGAGUAAGAGCAUACGGGGCCGGACCCGAAAGAAGGUGAACUAUGCCUGUAUAGGGUGAAGCCAGAGGAAACUCUGGUGGAGGCUCGCAGCGGUUCUGACGUGCAAAUCGAUCGUCAAAUAUGGGCAUGGGGGCGAA
rnacentral:rRNA from 1 species